rnacentral:rRNA from 1 species
UACGUAGGGGGGCAAGCGUUGUCCGGAUUUAUUGGGCGUAAAGAGCGUGUAGGCGGCUAGAUAGGUCCGUUGUGAAAACUCGAGGCUCAACCUCGAGACGUCGAUGGAAACCAUCUGGCUAGAGUCCGGAAGAGGAGAGUGGAAUUCCUGGUGUAGCGGUGAAAUGCGCAGAUAUCAGGAAGAACACCCGUGGCGAAGGCGGCUCUCUGGUACGUGACUGACGCUGAGACGCGAAAGCGUGGGGAGCGAACAGG